rnacentral:rRNA from 1 species
AGUUAACGUUGGCGGCGUGCCUAACACAUGCAAGUCGAACGCGUCCUAAGGGCAACUUUAGGAUGAGUGGCGAACGGGUGAGUAUCACGUGGGUAAUCUUCCUUCAAGUGGGGAAUAAGCUCUCGAAAGGGAGUCUAAUACCGCAUGACAUUCCGGGACACAAGUCCCGUAAUCAAAGCCGCAAGGCGCUUGAAGAUGAGCCUGCGUCCUAUUAGCUAGUUGGUGGGGUAACGGCCUACCAAGGCUUAGAUGGGUAGCCGGCCUGAGAGGGUGAACGGCCACACUGGGACUGAGACACGGCCCAGACUCCUACGGGAGGCAGCAGUGAGGAAUUUUGCGCAAUGGGGGAAACCCUGACGCAGCGACGCCGCGUGGAGGAUGAAGGCCUUCGGGUCGUAAACUCCUGUCAGAGGUGAAGAAUACCCGCAAGGGUUUGACGGUAACCUCAGAGGAAGCCCGGCUAACUACGUGCCAGCAGCCGCGGUAAGCAUACUCGUA